UACGUAGGGCGCAAGCGUUGUCCGGAAUUAUUGGGCGUAAAGAGCUCGUAGGCGGUUUGUCGCGUCUGUCGUGAAAGCCCACGGCUUAACCGUGGGUCUGCGGUGGAUACGGGCAGACUAGAGGCAGGUAGGGGAGAAUGGAAUUCCCGGUGUAGCGGUGAAAUGCGCAGAUAUCGGGAGGAACACCGGUGGCGAAGGCGGUUCUCUGGGCAUUAACUGACGCUGAGGAGCGAAAGCGUGGGGAGCGAACAGG
rnacentral:rRNA from 1 species